AGAUCAUGUUGAGGGCAACUUCUAUGCAAACCCUUGUAUCUCUCCUAUGCUAUAUACAAUUACUCUCCAACCUCUUGUUGAAAAAUUGUAAUCUUCUUUUUAAGCUU